CCUACGGGAGGCAGCAGUGAGGAAUAUUGGUCAAUGGGCGGGAGCCUGAACCAGCCAAGCCGCGUGAGGGAAGAAGGUACAGCGUAUCGUAAACCUCUUUUGUCAGGGAACAAAGGCGGGGACUAGUCCCCGGAUGAGGGUACCUGAAGAAAAAGCAUUGGCUAACUCCGUGCCAGCAGCCGCGGUAAUACGGAGGAUGCGAGCGUUAUCCGGAUUUAUUGGGUUUAAAGGGUGCGCAGGCGGCCUGUUAAGUCAGCGGUAAAAGCCCGGGGCUCAACCCCGGCGAGCCGGUGAAACUGGCGGGCUUGAGUUGGAGAGAAGUACGCGGAAUGCGCGGUGUAGCGGUGAAAUGCUUAGAUAUCGCGCAGAACCCCGAUUGCGAAGGCAGCGUACCGGCUCCACACUGACGCUGAGGCACGAAAGCGUGGGUAUCGAACAGGAUUAGAUACCCGAGUAGUC
rnacentral:rRNA from 1 species